AUGAACGCUGGCGGCGUGCCUAAUACAUGCAAGUCGAGCGAACAGACGAGGAGCUUGCUCCUCUGACGUUAGCGGCGGACGGGUGAGUAACACGUGGAUAACCUACCUAUAAGACUGGGAUAACUUCGGGAAACCGGAGCUAAUACCGGAUAAUAUAUUGAACCGCAUGGUUCAAUAGUGAAAGACGGUUUUGCUGUCACUUAUAGAUGGAUCCGCGCCGCAUUAGCUAGUUGGUAAGGUAACGGCUUACCAAGGCAACGAUGCGUAGCCGACCUGAGAGGGUGAUCGGCCACACUGGAACUGAGACACGGUCCAGACUCCUACGGGAGGCAGCAGUAGGGAAUCUUCCGCAAUGGGCGAAAGCCUGACGGAGCAACGCCGCGUGAGUGAUGAAGGUCUUCGGAUCGUAAAACUCUGUUAUUAGGGAAGAACAAAUGUGUAAGUAACGAUGCACGUCUUGACGGGACCUAAUCAGAAAGCCACGGCUAACUACGU
rnacentral:rRNA from 1 species